rnacentral:lncRNA from 1 species
AUAUUUUGUAGGAAUAUGGUACAGACAAGAUUAGGACUUGGUGGAGAACAACCAUCAAUGUAUAAUAGAGGCUGAGGAUAAGCCCCAAAUAGGGGUAGAGGCCGAGGUCAGGGUAGACCAAGAGAAGUUGAUAGGGGUGGCCAACCUCAUAGGACAUCAUCUUGUGUCUCAUCUUCUACCCCGAGGGUGGAAGUAGAGGUUUCACAGUUGCAUGAUCAUAUGCACAACUCUCCAUCCACUACACCAG